rnacentral:rRNA from 1 species
AUUAAAUUCCCCGCCUGGGGAAUAAGGCCGCAAGGCUAAAACUUAAAGGAAUAGACGGGGGCCCGCGCAAGCAGCGGAGCAUGUGGGGUAAUUUGACGCAACGCGAAGAGCCUUACCAAGGCUUGGCAUAUACCGGAAAGCAUCAGAGAUGGUGCCCCCCUUGUGGUCGGUAUACAGGUGGUGCAUGGCUGUCGUCAGCUCGUGUCGUGAGAUGUUGGGUUAAGUCCCGCAACGAGCGCAACCCUUGUUCUGUGUUGCCAGCAUGCCUUUCGGGGUGAUGGGGACUCACAGGAGACUGCCGGGGUCAACUCGGAGGAAGGUGGGGACGACGUCAAGUCAUCAUGCCCCUUAUGUCUUGGGCUGCACACGUGCUACAAUGGCCGGUACAAUGAGCUGCGAUGCCGCGAGGCGGAGCGAAUCUCAAAAAGCCGGUCUCAGUUUGGUUUGGGGUCUGCAACUCGACCCCAUGAAGUCGGAGUUGCUAGUAAUCGCAGCUCAGC